rnacentral:rRNA from 1 species
UACAGAGGUCUCAAGCGUUGUUCGGAUUCAUUGGGCGUAAAGGGUGCGUAGGCGGCGCGGUAAGUCAGACGUGAAAUCCCUCGGCUUAACCGGGGAACUGCGUCUGAUACUGGAUGGCUUGAGUUUGGGAGAGGGAUGCGGAAUUCCAGGUGUAGCGGUGAAAUGCGUAGAUAUCUGGAGGAACACCGGUGGCGAAGGCGGCAUCCUGGACCAACACUGACGCUGAGGAGCGAAAGCCAGGGGAGCAAACGGG